GGUCAUUCCGGAAAAUAGGAAAAUAUUGCUAAAGUACUGACUUUAAAGCAAAUUUAAACAAGAGUCAUACAUGUCAGUGACAUUUCCCAGUAGCACAAAAAUAGGAGGAUGUCAUUCUGGAGAAAUAGAGUCCCUUGAAUGAAGCAGCAGCAGAAACAGUCACAAUUCACUCUUCCAAGCUGCUGCUUCAUAGGAGCAGGGAAUUGCAGCCAACUCUGUCCUCAGCAAGACCUCCCACAUGGGUGGUGCUGCCACAGAAUCCCGAGUGUAGCAGCUCCCUGCAGGGAUUAUUAUCAGCUCUGUAGGCAGCGAUGCACGGAGCAGCAGCAGUGAUGGCAAAGGGCUCCCAGCAGGGCUUAGGCUGCUGCUGAAACUGUGACUCAGGGGAGGAAUAAACCACCUGUGCUUGAGCAAGGCAGGCAAAGGGGGUGAGGGCUGCAAACAUCUCAGGGGGGAGAAGCCACAGUGGGCAGCACCGUUCUGAUAAGUGAAACGGGAAGGAAAAAGAAGAAGAAGGAAGAAAAAAGAAGGAGGAGGAGGACAAAAUCUCAGAAUUUCAUCAGAUAAGACCACCAAUUUAUGCACAGCAGCUACUGCUCAGUCAGGAGAAUUGGCAGCCACAGCUAGUUGUGGCUGGAGAAGCGGGUCUUUCAGACAUCCUCGGCCUCCUAAUCUCAGCUCUCCAAAGGCUGAAACGCGAUCUCAGCCGCUGACCUCGAUGACGGAUGAAGAUGCCUGGACAGCCAUGCAGGAGAGGAAGGAAGUAAGGCGAUACCACGGGCUAAAUAUCGCAGCUCUCCCCAGCACGAAAGCAGCAUCGCAGGUUGCUCAGAGCCAUCGGAAAUCGUGCGGAGCCGGCUGGCAGGGCGGCAGAGGGAGGCAGAGGUGCGCAGGAGACUUUUUUUGCUGCGGCACCGAGGCUGCUCUGCUCUGCACCGCCGGCUGCGCUCUGACACCGCCGGAGCCGCCGCCGGAGCAUCCCCGGGCUGUGCUGGCACUGCUGCUGCGAGAAAACACCUGUGGGUACCGAGAAACUGCAGAUAGAUUUAUUUUUUUUAAUCAAAACUUUGGAAGAAAAAAAUAAUCUGCUUAGUCUAUUUAGAUAAUAUGCCUCUGUAAAAUACAUUGAUUUUUGAGCCAAUAGUUUGCAUGUAUUAAAAUGCCUGAAGGAUUGAACCCACCAUGAAAUAGAAAAGUCCCACUGACUACUCUAAAAAGAUUUGCCAUAAGUAAAAUUACCUAAACUUGGAUCUAAUUUUUUUUUAGUAUUAAAAUCUGCACUGCGUAAAAGA